AGAAUCAACGCUGGCGGCGUGCCUAACACAUGCAAGUCGAACGCGGUUACUUCUGCUUCGCAAGAAGCAGUUGUAACUGAGUGGCGAACGGGUGAGUAACACGUGGGUGACCUGCCUUCGAGUGGGGGAUAACAUCCCGAAAGGGGUGCUAAUACCGCAUGAGAUCCUGCCUUUGAAGAGGUGGAGAUUAAAGCUGGGGAUCGUAAGACCUGGCGCUUGAAGAGGGGCCCGCGUCCGAUUAGCUAGUUGGUGGGUAACGGCCUACCAAGGCUUCGAUCGGUA
rnacentral:rRNA from 1 species